UGGCUCUGGUUACAGCAGUGGACUUUUUCCAAGCAGAGAGAGAGGGUCUCUAUUUUAUCGGAAUUGCUUGAUCCAUCAGAGAUGGGGUGUUCUGUAAGAAUGAGGGAUGAUCUUUUCCGAUGACCAUUCGGAGUUGAUUUCCUUAAUACCAUUCUUUAGCUGAAUGUCAUAGCCACUGGAGUGUUGCAGCAGACUCACACCAACUCAUGAGAAUUAAAUUUUAUGAAAUUUGCAAGCCAUUUGACAUCAGAGCUGGUGACGUUCAAGAUUUCUGUCAUUUCUUUGGAACUGCCAAAAUGAAUGAAGACAUCUGCCAUGAUGACAACAAGAUCCUCCUCUUGGCUACAUCGCUAGAAAUGAUUGACCUUUGAAGGAAAAAGGAACAUAUGCUCUUCCCAACAUUGCCAUGCCUGUGGGUGCUCUGGGUUGCUCUGCUGUCUAGCGAUGAGAUCCUGCUGCUGCUGCUGCUGCUGCUGUUAUAGAAGGCUAGUCGUACAACAGCUGGGAAUAUUCGGCUGCUUCCAAAAGCUUAUCUCCUUAAUAGCAACCACAUCUUGGAACAAAUGAGCAGCAGGAGGAAAACUUUCCUGUGAUCCUUGAAUAUUUCUGUAAUCUUCCAAUAGACGGGUAGUGUGUUUAGCAUAGGUA